rnacentral:rRNA from 1 species
AUUGAACGCUGGCGGCAUGCCUAACACAUGCAAGUCGAACGGCAGCAUGAGUGGAGCUUGCUGUUUCGCUGACGAGUGGCGGACGGGUGAGUAAUGUCUGGGAAACUGCCUGAUGGAGGGGGAUAACUACUGGAAACGGUAGCUAAUACCGCAUAACGUCGCAAGACCAAAGAGGGGGACCUUCGGGCCUCUUGCCAUCGGAUGUGCCCAGAUGGGAUUAGCUUGUUGGUGGGGUAACGGCUCACCAAGGCGACGAUCCCUAGCUGGUCUGAGAGGAUGACCAGCCACACUGGAACUGAGACACGGUCCAGACUCCUACGGGAGGCAGCAGUGGGGAAUAUUGCACAAUGGGCGCAAGCCUGAUGCAGCCAUGCCGCGUGUAUGAAGAAGGCCUUCGGGUUGUAAAGUACUUUCAGCGGGGAGGAAGGGAGUAAAGUUAAUACCUUUACUCAUUGACGUUACCCGCAGAAGAAGCACCGGCUAACUCCGUGCCAGCCGCCGCGGUAA